rnacentral:rRNA from 1 species
GACGAACGCUGGCGGCGCGCCUAACACAUGCAAGUCGAACGGAGUCAAGAGGAGCUUGCUUUUCUUGACUUAGUGGCGAACGGGUGAGUAACGCGUGAGUAACCUGCCCUGGAGUGGGGGACAACAGUUGGAAACGACUGCUAAUACCGCAUAAGCCCACGGAUCCGCAUGGAUCUGCGGGAAAAGGAUUUAUUCGCUUCAGGAUGGACUCGCGUCCAAUUAGCUAGUUGGUGAGGUAACGGCCCACCAAGGCGACGAUUGGUAGCCGGACUGAGAGGUUGAACGGCCACAUUGGGACUGAGACACGGCCCAGACUCCUACGGGAAGCAGCAGUGGGGGAUAUUGCACAAUGGGGGAAACCCUGAUGCAGCGACGCCGCGUGGAGGAAGAAGGUUUUCGGAUUGUAAACUCCUGUCGUUAGGGACGAUAAUGACGGUACCUAACAAGAAAGCACCGGCUAACUACGUG